UACGUAGGGUGCGAGCGUUGUCCGGAAUUAUUGGGCGUAAAGGGCUCGUAGGCGGUCUGUCACGUCGGGCGUGAAAACUCGGGGCUUAACCCCGAGCCUGCUUCCGAUACGGGCAGACUAGAGGUAUGCAGGGGAGAACGGAAUUCCUGGUGUAGCGGUGAAAUGCGCAGAUAUCAGGAGGAACACCGGUGGCGAAGGCAGGUCUCUGGGCUGACACUGACGCUCAUGCACGAAAGCGUGGGGAGCAAACAGG
rnacentral:rRNA from 1 species